UACGGAGGAUGCGAGCGUUAUCCGGAUUUAUUGGGUUUAAAGGGAGCGCAGACGGGUCGUUAAGUCAGCUGUGAAAGUUUGGGGCUCAACCUUAAAAUUGCAGUUGAUACUGGCGUCCUUGAGUGCGGUUGAGGUGUGCGGAAUUCGUGGUGUAGCGGUGAAAUGCUUAGAUAUCACGAAGAACUCCGAUUGCGAAGGCAGCACACUAAUCCGUAACUGACGUUCAUGCUCGAAAGUGUGGGUAUCAAACAGGAUUAGAAACCCCGGCCGGCUGACUGACU
rnacentral:rRNA from 1 species